GAUGAACGCUGGCGGCGUGCCUAAUACAUGCAAGUCGAGCGAACGGACGAGAAGCUUGCUUCUCUGAUGUUAGCGGCGGACGGGUGAGUAACACGUGGAUAACCUACCUAUAAGACUGGGAUAACUUCGGGAAACCGGAGCUAAUACCGGAUGAUAUUUUGAACCGCAUGGUUCAAAAGUGAAAGACGGUCUUGCUGUCACUUAUAGAUGGAUCCGCGCUGCAUUAGCUAGUUGGUAAGGUAACGGCUUACCAAGGCAAAGAUGCAUAGCCGACCUGAGAGGGUGAUCGGCCACACUGGAACUGAGACACGGUCCAGACUCCUACGGGAGGCAGCAGUAGGGGAUCUUCCGCAAUGGGCGAAAGCCUGACGGAGCAACGCCGCGUGAGUGAUGAAGGUCUUCGGAUCGUAAAACUCUGUUAUUAGGGAAGAACAUAUGUGUAAGUAACUGUGCACAUCUUGACGGUACCUAAUCAGAAAGCCACGGCUAACUACGUG
rnacentral:rRNA from 1 species